GCCCAUUAAUGAUGUUUGUCCCUUCGUCACUUUGCCCUAGACAUUAGCGUCUCUGACGAAACUUCCUGAAAUUGUGAUCGACGAAUGUCUUUACGUUUCCUUCUCCAUAACGGCGGAUUAAUUCCUAUUUUGCGCCCAGCUUCUGCGUAAUUAACCUACUCUUCCACUCUGCAUCAUUCAAUCGAUUUCAUAGCAUCCCCAAAGUAACCGACUCAAGCUUCGACUAUAAAUAUCCUCAAUUUGAGCCAUGAACAACACAGCUUCGAUGAGAUUAAUAAGAAUAGUCUAUUCUACUUACCGAUUACUGCGAUUGUGAAUUCCUUUAUCUUCCUUGCCGAUUUGAAAGAUGGGCGCUGCUCCAACAUUGCAGAGGUUCAUUUGCUGAGGUUUUGGGAGGCGAGAUGGGUCUUGUGCGAAGAGAUAUUGUGAUACCUAAGCGUUGUACCCGGUAACUAUGAUCCGACAGAUUGCUGCAGGUGGUACUCACUCUAUAGUUUGAUACGCGAAGGUUAUGUGUGGACUUGGGGUCAUCCGUGACAUCCCCAUGACAUUGUUCAAGGUCCUCUGUCGGAGCAUUUUGUAAUGUGGCUCUUGAAUAAGAUGGGAGGCUCUUCGCACAACCCCUCAUCAUGUCCAAGUCCAAGGCCUCGAUGUCGAUGAUCUCACUUUGGUUUGUUUCUUUCUCUUCCUUUUAUUGAUUCAUUUUCUACUCACUAAAACCUUCAAAAGGGGACUAUGUUGUCAACUUAUCUCUCUUUAAACUCAUUUUUAGGUUAAUAUUGAUGCGGGUGGCUUGCAUUCAACUUCUUUAACUGCUAGGUGGACGGUUGGGGAAGAGAGAACACGGAAGACUCGGGUUAGGUGACAAUGACAAGAUCAGCAAAAUAGUUCCACAGAGAGUUAAUCUUCUCCCUGACAAAGAUAUCCUGCAUGUUAUACGUUUCUUGCGGCCUAACACAUUCCGUUGCUUUGAAAAGAGAUGGCAAAAUAUUAUCGACUGCUCUCUUGAAACCCAAGAAAUGUGCUUUAAGGUUUACUUCAUAAGUAAAGAGUCAUUUUCCUAUCAUUAUCUUUGUGAUCAGAUUGGUAGAGGAGAUCAUGGCAGACGGUUAUGGAAGGAAUGUAACACCUGGACAGCCAUUGGAGUUGUUUUUAUAUUUCACCACCUGAAAGAAGCUUUAAUAACGCCAGAAAGAAGUAAGGAAAAUGGUCAGCUGCUUGCGGUGGGCUCCACAGUCUUGCCAUCGUGGAAUGUAUGUCUGAUAAUAUUUGAUCCUCCGGUCACAUAACAAGUUACGAAGACAAGAAAGAAAUAUGUUGCAGGAAUCAAGGCAAAAGGAGAGUAUGCUUCAUUAAAAGGGGGAGGGGAAAGAGAGAAUGUAAUCACCAUUUCAUAGCUAUCGGAAUUGAUACCAGUAAAUGAGGAUAAGCAUGAUGGCACAAGCUCUGGAAGACUGGAACCAUCGGGGUUUAGAUCCUUGCCGCAGGAUAAGCACUGGCUAGCGACUAUGAUAGUGACAUGAGUACAUGACUGGUCAUGAGAAUCACAAACGCACCAGCUCCAAAACUGUCUUUAGCGGCUUGCUUGAUAACCUCGGUUAUAUUCUCUUCAUCUGUUCAUUGAGGAAUUAAGGCACAAAUUAUUAGAAAAGAAAUUUUAUAUCAAUUCAACAUAACUAAAUAUAAUAAACAGUUU